CUUUAAAAAUGUUUGGUUCACAGCCUUCACUGGAUUACCUAUUGGAGCAAACAAAGUGUAACCAUGUAAAACCUGUGAGCUUGUAUUGAUAUCUCAUGGCUAGAGUUCCAAGUUGCAGGAAUUUAGCCAAUUCAGAGGUCUUGUUCUCCAUAAUUUGGAAUUUUCCUUCGGAUUUGAUCAAGUUGGAUAGAGUUGGUCAAACCCAAUGGGAAAAAGAUGAAAACAACAAGAAACAGAAACAAACAGCAACAACAACAACAACAAAAACAAUGCAUUUAAUUAAAUGAAGAUGAGCUCAUGCUGGAGUAGGGUGGACUCUGAACCCAGUGGGACAAGCGUCCUUAUUAAGAAGAGGGAAAUCUGGACACACACAGAGCAGAGACCGCCGUGUGAAGAUGGAGGCAGAGAUCGGAGAGAUGCUGCCACACGCCACAAAUGCCUGGGGCUCCCAGAAACUACACGGAGCCUCCCCCAGCGGCUUCAGCAGGAGCAUGGCUCGGCCAACACUUUGAUCUUGGUCUUCCAGCCUCCAGAACGGUGAGUCGUUUUCCUAAAAUUCCCUUUUCCACUGGUGUGUGGUGCAAGAUGAGGCACAUUUUCCAUGGAUGGUGAACAGAGGGAGGAGCCUUUUGAUCACAACCAGGUCACCCCACUUCUAAGCCACUGUGCCUCCAGCCCCACAAGACUAAGGAGAGAGAGCGCAGCGUGGUGGAGAGUGAGCUGUGCUGGGACCAUUGUUUCCGUAACCUCGUUUUCUGUGUCCAGCUGACACACCUUCAAAGUGGCAUCAGGUCCUAAACUGUAGCUUGCAAUGUGCCUGUUUCCAGAAACCAAGGUGAAAGUGCUUUUAGACAGUGUUCCCAUGCAAGAGUCCCUUCCCAGCUUUUUUCUGGAAAUGCAUGUUUCUCUGAACUCUGAGUCCCAAGAAAAAUCACUUGAGACACCAAGAAAAUGGGGGAAGUGCUAAAAUUGUGUGGGAAUUCAAGCUUAACAAUAAACAUCAAGACAUUUUUGAUAAAAAUGAAUCCACUGACAUCGGGGAGGAGCAAGAGAACAGCACGCUGACACUGGGUCAGAGGCUAAGACCGACAUUUCUGGGAACCACUCCCGGAAGGGCACAGAGGAGACGCUUUCAGCCUCUCAUCAGCCAGCCUGGCCUGUAGCUGCUGCACGUUAUGAGUGUGUUCCUGGCAUGACUGCUUCUAACAAAGAAAUGCUGAGGCAGUGUCACGCUGGUGUCUGUCCUCCUUACAGAAUGCCUGAACAGUUCCAUUGACUCAAAGUGAAGAUCAAAAGAACCAAAUGACAGCAAUAGCCAAGUGUAAUCAUCAGUAACCCUGUGUUCUAUCCACAGUUAAAAGAAUAUUGGCAGAGAAACAGCCUUGGUGUUCCAGCAGGAGUGAAGAGGAACAGGAAAACGAGUGGCAGUAGC
rnacentral:lncRNA from 10 species